rnacentral:rRNA from 1 species
UACGAAGGGUGCAAGCGUUAAUCGGAAUUACUGGGCGUAAAGCGUGCGCAGGCGGUUUGUUAAGUCCGUUGUGAAAGCCCCGAGCUCAACUUGGGAAUUGCAGUGGAUACUGGCAGGCUGGAGUACGGUAGAGGAAGGUGGAAUUCCCGGUGUAGCAGUGAAAUGCGUAGAGAUCGGGAGGAACACCAGUGGCGAAGGCGGCCUUCUGGACCAAUACUGACGCUCAUGCACGAAAGCGUGGGGAGCAAACAGG